GCGGGGAUGGCACAGUGGCUACUGCGUUCGCCUGCAGAGCGAAUUUUCCCGGGUUCGAAUCCCGGUCCCCGCU
rnacentral:tRNA from 3 species